rnacentral:rRNA from 1 species
UACGUAGGGGGCGAGCGUUGUCCGGAGUUACUGGGCGUAAAGCGCACGCCGGCGGUCUGCUCAGUUUGGAGUGACAGUUGGUGGCUUAACUGCCAAAGUGCUUCGAAAACUGACAGACUUGAGGGCUUCAGAGGGACACGGAAUUCCGGGUGGAGUGGUGAAAUGCGUAGAGAUCCGGAGGAACACCAAAGGCGAAGGCAGUGUCCUGGGGAGUACCUGACGCUCAGGUGCGAAAGCCAGGGGAGCGAACGGG